AGAAUCUUUUCCAUCUGUGUUUAAGCUGGAGCCUAUGAAAUAAUGUCUAUAAAAAUAAGGUUGGAAGUGAAAAUAUCGAAUGCAAUAAAUUAUGGCUGCACUGUGUUCUCUCCUGAGGGCUGUCUUGGCCAAAGAACCUUCCACAUUGCCAUCUAGGACUGUUCUUUCUAUCUUCCCAUAAAACAUUCCAUUUGUUCACAGGAAGAAAGGGCCUCGAUGGCAGAGCCUUAGUCAAUAGAGCCGUGGUGCUUGGCUGUUGGCACCUGCCUGGCAUCUUAAUUUUUCUUCCAAAGCAGAGUUAUUCAGCUACCAAAUGAAAGCCUAAAGGAGGCUGCCUAGGGGAAGGUUACGGGCCAGUUUCCAUCAUGGCCGCCGUCUCCCUCCCUACCACCCCAUCACCUCAUCCCACAGUGUCAGAACCAUGACUCCAGACUGUAUCACCGUCUCCCUUCACUGAUUCGGCACAGUGUGGCAGGAAGCAGUGACCAGCUGAUGUGGGGCUGAGGGAAGAUGGUACGUUCGCUGGCGCCAGGGCCAGUCUUCGCUGUGAGCCAGGGCUUCUGAUGCACCUGCAGACAAAAGGAAGAAUGCGAAGAAUAACCAGGCUGCCGACGUCAGGUGCUCGUGAGUUUAUGACAAGAUGGCCAGACACCUCAGAAUAUCAGGCCUCUGACAGAGGAGAAGCAAAGGAUGGAUGCCAGGGGGGCUGUCAUGGGGAGAAGAGACACAAGCCCAGAGAGGUUGCGCUCCUUGCUCAAGGUUGCACAGGAGUUGGUAAGAACACAGAUAUCCUGCCUGCCAGUGUUUUUGUUCUUGGCUUGAACCUGGCAGAUGGAGAGACUUCUGAGCCUCCAUGGUUUCAAGAUCCAAUUUUCCUCCGUCCCUCGCUUCUCACCACGAGACACUGGAUAAAAUGGAGAAAGUGCGCUAAGCAUGUUUUCAUUUACUUAUUGCUUUCUGAUUGUGAAUGAGAUGUGACUCUUUCUCAGAAGUGGCCUCCUCCAAGUGAUAGGUACAAAGGUUCUUUGCCUAAGGAAACAGUGACCCCUCCUGAGACAGUUGCUAUACUUCUAGACCUGUAACUAGAUUCAAGUCCCUAUAAAGCCAGGGCACACAGCGUGAUGCAUGGGGAUGGGAACACGCUGUAUGUACUUCAGAACAACGGCUUAUGUUUUCUAAUCAGUUCAAGCAGAAAUCCGAGGAAUUGGGGCACGUGGAUCACAGAGUUUCAUCAGGCAAAAUGCAUUGAUAUGGGAUCACCAACAAAGAGCCUGAAGCUAAUGCUCCCACUUAGCUAGUUGGGAGGGGUUCCAGAGGUCUGGUUGCUUAGUUGGUUGGCUGAAAUGUGGAUCAAAAGGUGACCCACCAUGAGUGUGCUGGACAGUUUUAUGUCAGCUUGACAUAGCCAAAAUCAUCAGAGAAGAGAGAGAACCUUAAUUAAGA